AGAGUUUGAUCAUGGCUCAGAUUGAACGCUGGCGGCAUGCCUUACACUUGCAAGUCGAACGGCAGCACGGGAGCAAUCCUGGUGGCGAGUGGCGAACGGGUGAGUAAUAUAUCGGAACGUGCCCAGUCGUGGGGGAUAACGCAGCGAAAGCUGUGCUAAUACCGCAUACGAUCUAUGGAUGAAAGCGGGGGACUCGCAAGAGCCUCGCGCGAUUGGAGCGGCCGAUAUCAGAUUAGCUUGUUGGUGGGGUAAAAGCCCACCAAGGCGACGAUCUGUAGCUGGUCUGAGAGGACGACCAGCCACACUGGAACUGAGACACGGUCCAGACUCCUACGGGAGGCAGCAGUGGGGAAUUUUGGACAAUGGGCGCAAGCCUGAUCCAGCAAUGCCGCGUGCAGGAUGAAGGCCUUCGGGUUGUAAACUGCUUUUGUACGGAACGAAACGGCUCUUUCUAAUAAAGAGGGCUAAUGACGGUACCGUAAGAAUAAGCACCGGCUAACUACGUGCCAGCAGCCGCGGUAAUACGUAGGGUGCGAGCGUUAAUCGGAAUUACUGGGCGUAAAGCGUGCGCAGGCGGUUAUAUAAGACAGAUGUGAAAUCCCCGGGCUCAACCUGGGACCUGCAUUUGUGACUGUAUAGCUAGAGUACGGUAGAGGGGGAUGGAAUUCCGCGUGCAGCAGUGAAAUGCGUAGAUAUGCGGAGGAACACCGAUGGCGAAGGCAAUCCCCUGGACCUGUACUGACGCUCAUGCACGAAAGCGUGGGGAGCAAACAGGAUUAGAUACCCUGGUAGUCCACGCCCUAAACGAUGUCAACUGGGUUGUUGGGUCUUCACUGACUCAGUAACGAA
rnacentral:rRNA from 1 species